CUAGAUUCAAGAUGGCUGCUACCGCUAAACUUUCGAAAGUGACUGCCUGAAUAAACAGUCAUGAGAUACAAUGAUGCCACAGAGGUGGAUGCUGGCAGCAGAGGGUGAGGUGAUCCUUGGGCCAUCUUCCACGCCGUUUGCUGAGGGUCUGGGUGCAUUAUUUGCCAUUUACUACAAUUUCAACAUCGCUUACCAACAGGAAGCUGCAUGCGCCUUAGAGUUCAUUCAAAGAACGCACUCUCUUACCGGGAGGACGACCAAUGCCUUCAGGGACCAUGAGGCAAAACCCCAACUUUGCCUAAAGAAGGUGUCGGCAAUCUGUU